CUUCGUGCAUUAAAGUAUAUCCACACAGCAAAUGUCUAUCAUCGAGAUUUAAAGCCAAAGAAUAUAUUAGCAAAUGCAAACUGUAAACUUAAAAUUUGUGAUUUUGGGCUAGCAAGAGUUGCUUUCAGUGAUACCCCCUCAACAAUAUUUUGGACGGACUAUGUUGCGACACGAUGGUAUAGAGCUCCUGAACUUUGUGGAUCAUUUUUCUCUAAGUAUACACCAGCAAUUGAUAUAUGGAGUAUAGGCUGCAUCUUUGCUGAAGUACUAACAGGGAAACCACUUUUUCCUGGCAAAAAUGUUGUUCAUCAACUGGAUUUGAUGACAGAUCUGCUUGGUACCCCAUCAUUAGAUACAAUAUCACGGGUUCGAAAUGAUAAGGCAAGGAGAUAUUUAACUACCAUGAGGAAAAAGCAGGCCGUGCCAUUAGCUCAGAAAUUUCCAAAUACUGAUCCAUUGGCGUUGCGUCUAUUGGAAAGGCUACUUGCUUUUGAUCCAAAAGACCGGCCAACGGCUGAAGAGGCGCUAGCAGAUCCUUACUUCAAGGGGCUGGCAAAAGUUGAGAGGGAGCUGUCUUGUCAACCAAUAACAAAGAUAGAGUUUGAGUUUGAGAGGCGAAGGGUUACAAAGGAGGACGUGCGAGAGCUAAUUUUUCGAGAGAUACUGGAAUACCAUCCUCAAUUGCUCAAGGACUACAUAAAUGGAACUGAGAGGACUAACUUUCUUUAUCCAAGUGCCAUUGAUCAAUUUAGAAGGCAGUUUGCACAUCUUGAGGAAAAUGGUGGUAAAAGUGGGCCAGUAAUUCCACUUGAAAGAAAGCACGUAUCUCUUCCUAGGUCUACAAUUAUACAUUCAAACACAAUUCCUCCCAGAGAACAGACCAUUGCUUGCUUAAGAGAUCGACAGUCUGCUGAGGAAACAUACAACAAAACUUCCCGAUAUUCUGAUGGAACUCAUGUAAAUAUAUCAACCCUGCAGGCACCACAAAGAAUUCCACUAGCUAAACCGGGAAAAGUUGCGGGGUCAGUUGUUCCAUGCGACAAGGGAAGUAUCAUGAAAGAUGCCUAUGACCCAAGAACUUUUGUCAGAGGCUCAUUACUUCCUGCUCAGGGUGUCCCUUCUGCAUAUGGUUAUCGCAAAUCUAGCACAGGGAAGCAAGAGAGAUCCGCCUUGGAAAAUCUGAGUUCUUCACAAAAGCAAGUCCAGCAACGUGGCAUAACAACAAAAUUUGCGCCAGAUAUAGCUAUCAACAUUGACUCCAACCCUUUUUUU
rnacentral:misc_RNA from 1 species